CUUGAGCAUGUGUAUAAGCUGGUCAAGGCUCUAUAUCGGCUCAAACAGACCCCAAGAGUGUGGUAUGAGCGACUAUCAAAAUUCCUUCUGGAGCAUUGGUAUAAAGGAUGUAAAAUUGAUAGCACCUUGUUCCUAAAGGAAAAAGGUAAAGAGCUACUAAAACUCUGAGUAAGGACUUUGCAAAACUAAUGGGGAGUGAGUUUGAAAUGAGUAUGAUGGGUGAAUUA
rnacentral:lncRNA from 1 species